CCGUCAUCAUUUUUCUUCCCCACCUUCCCCUGCUUCUUCUGCCAUGUCCACGUUUGCGCGUAAGAGAGCGAGGAAAACAUCAACGAGGAAAAAAAGAAGGAAGAAGAAACAAGAGAUCAUUCAUCAUCCUUUACCGCUCUAGGCUAUGGUUGACUCAGGGUUAGGGUUACAAUUGCAGCCAAAGUUGCAGUCAUGGAGCUCUAGUAUCAAGAUUCUAGCUAGGAACUGAUGCAGUCAUGGUGCUAUAGGGUUAAGCUCUGGUUUUUCAGAGAUUUUACAGAGCUUGUGAUGUAAGUUUUUUGGACUUUGGGGGCUUGAAGAAGAGUAAUGCACCCUAGGGUUAGGUUUCAAAUAUUCAGAACUUUUUACUGCAUUAGAGGAAUGGUGGUAGUUGCAUUCAUGUCGAGCCCGGAUUGAAAUCAUGGUUAAGGAUUUAGGAACGAUUGCAGUCAUGUCGCCUAGAAGGUAAUAUUAUAAGGGAAUCGGAAGAAUUAGCACUAACAUUAGGUUUUAGGGAUUUUGGGACGCAAACAACCAAUCCUAUACACCAGUGCCCUGGUUCUAGAGUUUUCUAGAUUGAAAAAAGAGGUUUUCAGAGCAUACAUGGUGUGGAAUUAGGGUUUUGAUGGGGAACUGCUGUGUUAAGGUUGGCAAUUCCUCCUCCUCCUCUACAUCAAGCAGGCGAAGGAAACAUCGGAACAAGGAGAAAAGGCCAAACCCUUUCGCAGAGGACUUAGGCCUUGAUCCAUGUGGAACUCCAAGGCUUCGAGUUCUCAAGGAAGAAGCAGCAGUUGGUUGCUGUAACAUCACAGAUAAGUAUAUUUUGGGGCGAGAAUUAGGGCGUGGAGAAUUUGGGGUCACCUAUCUUUGUACUGAUAAGGAAACGAGAGAAGCUUUAGCCUGUAAAUCUAUAUCGAAGAGGAAGCUGAGAACAGCUGUUGAUGUUGAGGAUGUUAGGAGAGAGGUGGCCAUUAUGAGUAGUUUACCAGAGCACCCUAAUGUGGUGAGGUUGAAGGCUGCUUAUGAAGAUUCAGAGGCUGUGCACCUUGUGAUGGAGCUUUGUGAAGGUGGGGAGUUGUUUGAUAGGAUUGUCGCUCGUGGUCAUUAUUCAGAGAGAGCCGCUGCCAAUGUGACGAGAACCAUUGUGGAGGUUAUACAGAUGUGCCAUAAGAAUGGCGUUAUGCACAGAGAUCUGAAGCCAGAAAACUUUCUCUAUGCGAACAAGAAGGAGAAUGCUCCUUUGAAGGCCAUUGAUUUUGGGCUCUCUGUGUUUUUCAGGCCAGGUGAACGGUUCUCAGAGAUAGUAGGAAGCCCUUACUAUAUGGCACCAGAAGUGCUGAAGCGGAAUUAUGGACCUGAGGUGGAUGUAUGGAGUGCUGGAGUAAUCCUUUAUAUCUUGCUUUGUGGGGUGCCUCCAUUUUGGGCUGAGACUGAGCAAGGUGUUGCUCAAGCUAUUCUUCGUGUUGUCAUCGAUUUUAAAAGAGAUCCUUGGCCAAAAGUUUCUGAUAGUGCAAAGAGCCUUGUACGCCAGAUGCUAGAAUCUGAUCCAAGGCGUCGCCUCAGUGCUCAACAGGUUCUUGAACAUCCAUGGUUAACAAAUGCAAAGAAAGCUCCAAAUAUUCCUCUUGGUGAUAUUGUGAGGUCAAGGCUUAAACAGUUCUCUGUGAUGAAUAGAUUCAAAAAGAAAGCUUUAGGGGUGAUCGCAGAACACUUGUCAGUUGAGGAAGUUGAAAUUAUCAGAGACAUGUUUAAGCUGAUGGACACUGACAAUAAUGGAAAAGUGACCUUUGAGGAACUGAAGGCUGGCCUUAAGAAAGUUGGCUCCCAAUUAGCUGAGUCAGAGAUGAAGCUGUUAAUGGAAGCAGCUGAUGUUGAUGGAAAUGGCGCAUUGGAUUAUGGUGAAUUUGUUGCUGUUACGAUUCAUUUGCAAAGAAUGGAGAACGACGAGCAUUUCCGUAGGGCAUUCAUGUUCUUUGAUAAAGAUGGCAGUGGUUUCAUUGAAAUCGAUGAGCUUCGAGAGGCCUUGAUGGAUGAAUCAGGCCAAACUGACACUGAAGUCCUGAACAAUAUCAUGCGAGAGGUUGACACUGAUAAGGACAAUCGUAUAAGUUAUGAGGAGUUUGUUUCGAUGAUGAAGACUGGGACUGAUUGGAGAAAGGCCUCUCGACACUAUUCUAGAGAGAGGUUCAAGAACUUGAGUGUUAACCUCAUGAAGGAUGGUUCUUUGAAGAUGACAGAUGACUUUGGAGUCUAAGACCUGGGUUCCAUAUCAGGGCUUCUUCAGAAGGAAGGUUAAGAAGGCAGAGUGGUAACCUUGUUGUUAAUUUCCGCCUGUUGAUGGCUUGUUUCCACUGCAGAUUUCAGAGACCAUGAAGAGUGCACAACUUGGGAGAUUUGAGGUUCGAUCAUUCAUCAGGAACAUUAAAAAGUAACUGUUUUUUGUUUCAGUUGUGUAUGUCUUUUUUGUGUGCGUGUUUGAGAGGGAGACUUCAUCUGAAAACAAACUUAACGGUUUGGUGGUAGUGGCAGGUUUGGGUCGUGAAGGUCCCCUGUUCCAGCCCAAGAAGUUUCUCAAAAAGCCCAAACAUGUUAACAUUAUUUUUAAUCCGUCCGGCUUUUGCUUAGCGGUAGUUAUAUUGGUUUGGGUGUGAGUGGCCAAGAAAUGCUCAAAAAAGCUAAUUUAGUGCUUUUUGAUCAAGUGAUUUAUCUGAAAACAACGUAACAUGCUUUUGUGCUUGAUUGACAUGGUAUUGUUUCAUUUA